GGGUUGUGAGGUUAAGCGACUAAGCGUACACGGUGGAUGCCCUGGCAGUCAGAGGCGAUGAAGGACGUGCUAAUCUGCGAUAAGCGUCGGUAAGGUGAUAUGAACCGUUAUAACCGGCGAUUUCCGAAUGGGGAAACCCAGUGUGUUUCGACACACUAUCAUUAACUGAAUCCAUAGGUUAAUGAGGCGAACCGGGGGAACUGAAACAUCUAAGUACCCCGAGGAAAAGAAAUCAACCGAGAUUCCCCCAGUAGCGGCGAGCGAACGGGGAGCAGCCCAGAGCCUGAAUCAGUGUGUGUGUUAGUGGAAGCGUCUGGAAAGGCGCGCGAUACAGGGUGACAGCCCCGUACACAAAAAUGCACAUGCUGUGAGCUCGAUGAGUAGGGCGGGACACGUGGUAUCCUGUCUGAAUAUGGGGGGACCAUCCUCCAAGGCUAAAUACUCCUGACUGACCGAUAGUGAACCAGUACCGUGAGGGAAAGGCGAAAAGAACCCCGGCGAGGGGAGUGAAAAAGAACCUGAAACCGUGUACGUACAAGCAGUGGGAGCACGCUUCGGCGUGUGACUGCGUACCUUUUGUAUAAUGGGUCAGCGACUUAUAUUCUGUAGCAAGGUUAACCGAAUAGGGGAGCCGAAGGGAAACCGAGUCUUAACUGGGCGUUAAGUUGCAGGGUAUAGACCCGAAACCCGGUGAUCUAGCCAUGGGCAGGUUGAAGGUUGGGUAACACUAACUGGAGGACCGAACCGACUAAUGUUGAAAAAUUAGCGGAUGACUUGUGGCUGGGGGUGAAAGGCCAAUCAAACCGGGAGAUAGCUGGUUCUCCCCGAAAGCUAUUUAGGUAGCGCCUCGUGAAUUCAUCUCCGGGGGUAGAGCACUGUUUCGGCAAGGGGGUCAUCCCGACUUACCAACCCGAUGCAAACUGCGAAUACCGGAGAAUGUUAUCACGGGAGACACACGGCGGGUGCUAACGUCCGUCGUGAAGAGGGAAACAACCCAGACCGCCAGCUAAGGUCCCAAAGUCAUGGUUAAGUGGGAAACGAUGUGGGAAGGCCCAGACAGCCAGGAUGUUGGCUUAGAAGCAGCCAUCAUUUAAAGAAAGCGUAAUAGCUCACUGGUCGAGUCGGCCUGCGCGGAAGAUGUAACGGGGCUAAACCAUGCACCGAAGCUGCGGCAGCGACGCUGAUGCGUUGUUGGGUAGGGGAGCGUUCUGUAAGCCUGCGAAGGUGUGCUGUGAGGCAUGCUGGAGGUAUCAGAAGUGCGAAUGCUGACAUAAGUAACGAUAAAGCGGGUGAAAAGCCCGCUCGCCGGAAGACCAAGGGUUCCUGUCCAACGUUAAUCGGGGCAGGGUGAGUCGACCCCUAAGGCGAGGCCGAAAGGCGUAGUCGAUGGGAAACAGGUUAAUAUUCCUGUACUUGGUGUUACUGCGAAGGGGGGACGGAGAAGGCUAUGUUGGCCGGGCGACGGUUGUCCCGGUUUAAGCGUGUAGGCUGGUUUUCCAGGCAAAUCCGGAAAAUCAAGGCUGAGGCGUGAUGACGAGGCACUACGGUGCUGAAGCAACAAAUGCCCUGCUUCCAGGAAAAGCCUCUAAGCAUCAGGUAACAUCAAAUCGUACCCCAAACCGACACAGGUGGUCAGGUAGAGAAUACCAAGGCGCUUGAGAGAACUCGGGUGAAGGAACUAGGCAAAAUGGUGCCGUAACUUCGGGAGAAGGCACGCUGAUAUGUAGGUGAGGUCCCUCGCGGAUGGAGCUGAAAUCAGUCGAAGAUACCAGCUGGCUGCAACUGUUUAUUAAAAACACAGCACUGUGCAAACACGAAAGUGGACGUAUACGGUGUGACGCCUGCCCGGUGCCGGAAGGUUAAUUGAUGGGGUUAGCCGCAAGGCGAAGCUCUUGAUCGAAGCCCCGGUAAACGGCGGCCGUAACUAUAACGGUCCUAAGGUAGCGAAAUUCCUUGUCGGGUAAGUUCCGACCUGCACGAAUGGCGUAAUGAUGGCCAGGCUGUCUCCACCCGAGACUCAGUGAAAUUGAACUCGCUGUGAAGAUGCAGUGUACCCGCGGCAAGACGGAAAGACCCCGUGAACCUUUACUAUAGCUUGACACUGAACAUUGAGCCUUGAUGUGUAGGAUAGGUGGGAGGCUUAGAAGUGUGGACGCCAGUCUGCAUGGAGCCGACCUUGAAAUACCACCCUUUAAUGUUUGAUGUUCUAACGUUGACCCGUAAUCCGGGUUGCGGACAGUGUCUGGUGGGUAGUUUGACUGGGGCGGUCUCCUCCUAAAGAGUAACGGAGGAGCACGAAGGUUGGCUAAUCCUGGUCGGACAUCAGGAGGUUAGUGCAAUGGCAUAAGCCAGCUUGACUGCGAGCGUGACGGCGCGAGCAGGUGCGAAAGCAGGUCAUAGUGAUCCGGUGGUUCUGAAUGGAAGGGCCAUCGCUCAACGGAUAAAAGGUACUCCGGGGAUAACAGGCUGAUACCGCCCAAGAGUUCAUAUCGACGGCGGUGUUUGGCACCUCGAUGUCGGCUCAUCACAUCCUGGGGCUGAAGUAGGUCCCAAGGGUAUGGCUGUUCGCCAUUUAAAGUGGUACGCGAGCUGGGUUUAGAACGUCGUGAGACAGUUCGGUCCCUAUCUGCCGUGGGCGCUGGAGAACUGAGGGGGGCUGCUCCUAGUACGAGAGGACCGGAGUGGACGCAUCACUGGUGUUCGGGUUGUCAUGCCAAUGGCACUGCCCGGUAGCUAAAUGCGGAAGAGAUAAGUGCUGAAAGCAUCUAAGCACGAAACUUGCCCCGAGAUGAGUUCUCCCUGACUCCUUGAGAGUCCUGAAGGAACGUUGAAGACGACGACGUUGAUAGGCCGGGUGUGUAAGCGCAGCGAUGCGUUGAGCUAACCGGUACUAAUGAACCGUGAGGCUUAACCUUACAACGCCGAAG
rnacentral:rRNA from 1 species